UGCAGAAAAGCAACCCUGUAAAAAGAGAUACAUACAAUUCCAUAUAUGUACGUUUAUAAAAUGUUGCGCGUUAAUUCAGUGAAUUCUAAAUCGAAUUAUUAUAUUUCGUGCGUUGUUUAAGUGAUUUAUGUUUUGUGAUUAAAUCUACAGUUUACUAUAUUAUCAAGAAAAGAUAAACAAAAAUGAAAAAAAACGCCAUUUCAAAAAAUGUAAGGUGCAUUUAAAAAAAAAUUGAGCGAUCGGGGUGCCUCAUGACCGGAGAGGAAAAAGACGAGGCUCUCGACCAGGUAGCAAGCCUUUUACCUAUUCAAAACUUUGAGGGAUGUUUGGAAGUGGAAGAAAUGUUAGAGAAACCUGAGUUCGCACAAUCUAUGAUCAGUUAUGUCCACAAACUUAAAGAGACAUCGGAUAGACGGAGGUCUAUUGAACGGGGUCACCACCGAAAUAACCAAAAAAAAUAUAUUGUUACGAAUUUACUCUUGCUAGUUUACUUUGUUAGGUUCGUAUCUCUGGAUUGACAAAUAAAAUCAACACUGUUUAAUUUAAUUCAACAACUCUUUAUUUCACAACUCGUCUACACUAUAGCAGUUUACUCUUAGCACUGAUUGAUUACGUUGGCGCUGCCACGGCUUAUAUAGCCACGCACUUCUCGCUGAUGCCGACGUGUCCUUCUAGAAUAUCGCGUCUGGAAAUUACCAGAACAUACGGCUAUACGGCGCCAGACGCAAGCAGACAGUCGCGGCGCCAGACUCAGCAAUUGUUUAACUAGACGAGCAGACAGUGUGGCGCCAGAUGUCUACAACAAGACAAAUGCUAUUCCAUAUACCUACAGCUAUUGUUCAUAAUCAGGGAUGCAUAUAGUAAUACAAAUA